UACGAAGGGGGCUAGCGUUGCUCGGAAUCACUGGGCGUAAAGCGCACGUAGGCGGCUUUUUAAGUCAGGGGUGAAAUCCUGGAGCUCAACUCCAGAACUGCCCUUGAUACUGGGAAGCUUGAGUCCGGGAGAGGUGAGUGGAACUCCGAGUGUAGAGGUGAAAUUCGUAGAUAUUCGGAAGAACACCAGUGGCGAAGGCGGCUCACUGGCCCGGUACUGACGCUGAGGUGCGAAAGCGUGGGGAGCAAACAGG
rnacentral:rRNA from 1 species